CCCCACAGGCACCAUCACAAACGACUCCAUUGUUUCACAAUCCUUCAUCAGACUUUCUGACCGCUAAACUCCAUAUCUCAGCUUGCUCAUCUAGCUGAAGCAAUAAAUGAAGCUUGAUUCCCUAUUCUGCUGUGCACGGCAGUUUUGAAAGCCACAUCUCUAGAAGCACAUCAAUAAUUUAGACCAACUUCUGAGAACUACUUAAAUGAAACAAGGGCUGUGCAAUAAAUCAUAUCAGAAAUAACUAAAAGUCUUUAAUAUGUAUAAAGUACACGAGAGAAUCGAAAGGGUGACAUGAGACAUCCCAGGGCGUUCUGAAGGCACGAGAAAUUUUCCAAGGAACGAUGAAAAAGACAAAAACAAGACUUAAAGACAAAAAGAUUUAAAGAACUGAAGAUUUGGACUCGCUAUGAGAAUUACAGGGAAAGGUGGCGGGGUUUUGCAGCCCAGCAUUCAGGGGCAAACACUGAGAGUGUAAUUAUACUGCACAUGAGACUAAAUGUGUUAAAAAUCAAAGGAAAAAUAUAGCUAACAUUAAAGAGAUUUUAUCUGAAA